rnacentral:tRNA from 1 species
GGAAAGAUGGCUGAGCUGGUCUAAGGCGCACGACUGGAAAUCGUGUGUACGUUAAUAGCGUACCGAGGGUUCGAAUCCCUCUCUUUCCGCCA